AGGACGAACGCUGGCGGCGUGCUUAACACAUGCAAGUCGAACGAGGUGCUUGCACCUAGUGGCGAACGGGUGAGUAACACGUGAGCAACCUGCCCUUGGCUCUGGGAUAGCCUCCGGAAACGGGGAUUAAUACCGGACAUGACCUUCUUCCGCAUGGGGGAGGGUGGAAAGUUUUUCGGCCAGGGAGGGGCUCGCGGCCUAUCAGCUUGUUGGGGGGGUAACGGCCCACCAAGGCGACGACGGGUAGCC
rnacentral:rRNA from 1 species